AAUCACUAAUGGAGAACUACAACAUUAGGGGUGCUGCCUCUAGUGAUGAAGCAGGGGAAGGCUCUGAGGUUCCU